UACGUAGGCGGGAAAUUAAGUCAGUAGUGAAAUCCCACAGCUUAACUGUGGAACUGUUAUUGAUACUGGUUUUCUUGAAUAUAGUUGAGGUAGGCGGAAUGUGUAAUGUAGCGGUGAAAUGCUUAGAUAUUACACAGAACACCGAUUGCGAAGGCAGCUUACUAAGCUAUGAUUGACGCUGAGGUACGAAAGCGUGGGGAGCAAACAGGAUUAGAUACCCUGGUAGUCC
rnacentral:rRNA from 1 species